AUGGCUAAGAUCCGGGAGAGGAAGACGAGGGAUAUUGGCCAAGUCAAAUGCAUCAAGGACGGAGCAGGCCAACUCUUGGUGAAGGACGAAGAGAUUAAGCAUAGAUGGCGGGAGUACUUCGACAAGCUGUUCAAUGGGGAGAAUGAGAGUUCUACCAUUGAACUGGACGACUCAUUUGAUGAGACCAGCAUGCGUUUUGUGCGGUGCAUCCAGGAGUCUGAGGUGAAGGAGGCUUUAAAAAGGAUGAAAAGAGGCAAGGCGAUGGGCCUGAUUGUAUCCCCAUUGAGGUGUGGAAAGGUCUCGGGGGCAUAG
rnacentral:rRNA from 1 species